CAGAGCAUGAACGGGGGAGGGGCAGAGAGAGAGGGAGACACAGAAUCGGAAGCAAGCUCCAGGCUCUGAGCCAUCAGCCCAGAGCCCGACGCGGGGCUCGAACUCGCGGACCGCGAGAUCGUGACCUGAGCUGAAGUCGGACGCUCAACCGACUGAGCCAUCCAGGCUCCCCAGAGUUCAUUUCUUGAUACACCUUCUUACACACCUGAUGUCUUGUACAUCAAGUGUACAGACUUUGUGCUAGCGUCUGCAUGUAGAUAAUCAGGCUCCUUUUAGGUAACAUUUCUUUUGUUUGCAUGAUAAUGUUUAUGCUAAUUUGUCUGCGGGAUUUGUCCCCUAAUACUUCCCAAAGCAAGAAGACAUUUAGGAAUGCUUUUAAGACGUUGCUCUCAAUUGGGUCUACAGAGGAGAUGUUUAAUAGCCCCGGGGAGCCCUGGACAAGUAAUAGAGUAACGUUACAAAGAGUUUGCCUGAAUCAGUUUGUUCUUCAGUUGUUUGUUAUGGUCAUCUGCCAGAGUUGGGUACGUGAAAAACAAGAAAGUGACUUAUAGGAACUUCCUGCUCCCAGGUGACUGGGCUCCUGGCCAUCCCACCUUUCCUCCUGACUUGGAGCUGAGCUGCUCAUUCUAGAAAUGGGCUCUGCAGGAAAGGGAAUUAGCAUUAAACUCAAGUCGUGAACUUUGAAAAGUUUGGUUUUAAGGCCAGAGACCCAACGCCUUCCUUAACUGAAGAGCCAGAAAGCUGAAGCCUUGUCCGAGGCCCAGGCCGUGGUAAUUCAUAGAACAGUUAGAACAAUAGCAGCCGUGAUCACUGCCUCAGGUUGAGAGUCUACUGUCGGUUGGCCACGUGGGCUAACUUGUCCACUUGCAAGGAUACUGUCUUGUUUCCCAGAGUCCUAUUUUUUUUUUUUCUGCCAUCAUUUUUUUUUCAGCUUUACUGAGGCAUAAUAGACAAAUACAACUGUAAGACGUUUAGAAUAGACACAUACAUUAUGAAAGGAUUCCUCUCAUCUACUUAAACACAUCCAUCACCCCACCUAUUUGUGUGUAUGUGAGAGCAUUUAAACGCUACUUGCAAGUUCCGAUUAUUCAAGACAGCAUUUUCAACUCUACUCACUGUGUUUUACAUUAGAUCCUCUGACCUUACUCACUUUGUAGCUGAAAAUGUGUACCCUUUUAUUAACCUCUCUCCAUUUCUCUGACCCUCCAGGCCCUGGCAACCACUUUUCUACUGUUUAUGAGUUUGACUUUUUUUUUUUAAUUUUUUUUUUUUAACGUUUAUUUAUUUUUGAGACAGAGAGAGACAGAGCAUGAACAGGGGAGGGGCAGAGAGAGAGGGAGACACAGAAUCCGAAACAGGCUCCAGGCUCCGAGCUGUCAGCACAGAGCCUGACGCGGGGCUCGAACUCACGGACCGUGAGAUCAUGACCUGAGCCAAAGUCGGGACACUUAACCGACCAAGCCACCCAGGCGCCCCUUGACUUUUUUUUUUAAGAGUCCACAUAAGAAGUGAUAACAUGUGGUAUUUGUCUUUCUCUGCCUGGCUUUUUUUUCUUUUUUUUUUUACUUAGCUUAAUGCCUUCAAGGUCCAUCCAUGUUGUUGUGAAUGGCAGAAUUCUCUUCUUAUGGCUGUAUAUGGAUAUAUUCCACAUCUUCUUUAUUGAGUCACCCAUUAAUGAACACUCAGGUUAUUUCUAUAUCUCAGCCAUUAUGGAUUUAUCCUGCAGUGAAUAUGGGAGUAUAGAUAUGUCUUUGAGAGCCUGUUUUUAUUUCCUUGGGUUAUUUAUCCCAAAGUCAGGUUGCUGGAUAGUAUGGUAUUUCUAUUUUUAAUUUUUUGAGGAACCACCGUACUGUUUUCCAUAGUGGCUGCUACCUUCCCACCAGCAGUCCCAACAUUUUCCUUUUCUCUCCUUCCUUGCCAGUGCUUGUCCUCUCCUAUUUUUUUUGAGUCACAUUUUUUUUAGGCUGAAAUGAGUCCCAUGAAAGAAGCUUGUCUACACUUUUCAUUUUACUCCCAAAGAAAUGGGUCUCCAGAGAGUAGCAUGCAUUUCCCAAGAUCCCACCGUUGGUUCUCCAGCUUUUACCCACAGAGAAUCAGAGAAUCUCGUCUCUUCUUCAGGGAGUGCCCUCAACCUUCCACAGUCAGGUCUGGUUGGGGGUGGGGUGGGUCGUGUAUGCUUUUUAAAUCAGGCUUACACCCGUGGAAGUUUGCACCCUUCACAUAAGGGGCUGCCUGUUCUGUGGGCACAUGACUGGUCACUGAACCGCAAUACACAGUCACCAUUCAGCAAGUCCUUGGCAAGAAGUACAACCUCAGGCUUCCACUGUUCAUGGGUUUGUGAGAAACGUUUAUCACGUAAAGAAUGGCUAGCAGGAUGCCCAUCUCUUGAGAAGCUCAUGGUUCCCCCCAGUAAGAUGAUCCGAGUUUACAUCCCAACUAAGCGACUUAUAAACUGUCCCUUGAGUGGACUACUUCGCCUCGGCGUUCCCCUCUGAAAAAUAGGGAUAGAAAUAGUGUUUCCUAUGCCCAGGAUAAGUGUGAGGAUAAAUGACUUCAUUCACUUAGGGGACUUCGAAUAGUACCUGGAUCAGAGCAAGUCUUCAAUAAACGUUGUCUGUAAAUAUUGACUAUUACUUAUCGCUGGAUUCAGCCAGAUGAUCAAGGAGCUUUGUGCGCUGAAAUCAGGGUGAUAUGUUCACGGUAAGGAAUGCUGUUGGGGAAACUGUUCCCUGCAUUGUGGUGGAAUCUUCAGGAGGAAGCCGGGAGAAAUUUCUCUCAGCUCUCUGCCUUAGAAAGAUCGUUCCCCUCUGGGCCCCCGUUUGUGUCUGAUCUUAUGGACACUUUGAAGCAUAUAGAACAGAGGUCAGCAAACUUUUUUGCUAAAGGACCAGUUGGGAGAUAGUUUUUGGCUUUCUGGGCCACAGAGUCUGCCUCCUGCGGCUGCUCAGCCCUGCCGUGGAAGCAGCUAGAGACAGCCUGUAAACAAGUGGAUGCAGCUGUGUUCCAGUAACACUUCAUUUACAGAAACAGACUUCAACCCCCGAUGGAGAGCGUGUUUUUCGUACACCCCCCUUCAGUACCAACUGAGUUGAGCGUCUAGCAAGUAAUGUGGCUACUGACACCACCCCUGCCUGCCUGUAUUCCACAUUUAUCUUCUGUUUACCUUCAUUCCACAACCCACCUUUUACUUUUGUUGUCUUCUUUCCCUACUGUCUCUAUCUGUAGGUGACAUGAGAUUUUUGUUGUUGUUGUUGUUAAACAGGAUGGGACUAUCAGUAAACACAUCAGUUAUUUGUCAUCAACUUAGAAACGAGGACUCUAGAAACCACUUCUGACUCAGAGUUCAACCGAUGUGGUUAAACAGAGAAACAGACCGUCCAAUACAGGCUGCCACCCAAUGUGUUGUCUCAUUGCUGACGUGCCAGCUAUGUGCAGACUUUUGCAGUUAGCAUGCCCUUGAACCUGAGAGGCUGAGAGAAGAGAGACCAGGGCUCCCGGUAGCCACAGAGUUCCAUUCCUUCCUCUCUCAUUGUAGAAUUUCUUUUAAAUGAAAACAGCCUCUUUGGUUUGCAAGCCUAACUCUGGCAGGAAGACAAAUGAUUUUUUUACAGUAUCAGACACGCGGUUUCCUGUCUGUGUUUAACUUGCUAGCAGAACAUCUCAGCCAGCUGGUUCCCCCUGGACCUAUUGUGACCUUAAUAACAUGGCCUCGCGCCAUCCAGCACACGCACUCCAUGUAUCGAUCCCAUGCCUCGUGCACUUUAUUGACUCGUAUCGGUUUCUGAGUCGGAGAGGACCUGGGAGCACCGCCCCCUUUCCCUUAAAUCCCACUUUGUGUUUGUUCCGUCCCAGCAUCACGGGGCUGGCUUCUUGGGGAAACUCUUCGUUCUCACGUGGAAGAAAUGAGAAGAAUAAAGGGGCUUUGGCAGCUCCGUGAGUUCUGGGUGUGCUGCCUUUGAACUGUGCAGUCGCUACUCAAAAUAGCUGGCUCGCCAGCUGUGUGUUUUUGUUGCAGGAGAAGCAAACCAGAUUUACUUUCUGGUCUCAUUGUAGGAGAAAAAAGUUAAGUGUGGAAAUAUGGUUGUGAAGAGUUGUUAGAAGAGGAAGAAAACUAUGGAUUAAACUCACUGGUUUCAUUCCUGGGAAGAGAAGUCAGUUAUUUGAGGUGAUGAUUCAGUGCUGAAGGAGCCUUUGGUUAUGAAUGAGCUAGGUUAGAAAGCAUCCUCUGAAUCUGUGAAUACGGCCUAUGUCUGGCCAAGGAAAUAAUAAAGAUCGUACAUGCCAGAGGGCAUUGUGACUGAGUCAAGUGCAGCUUAGAAUGUAUUUGUGGCGUCUCCGGGCAAAGCAACUCGCCUUUGUAGAUUUUUUUUUUUUUUUUCUCUAAGCAGCAAAGUAAACAAAGAUGCUCUGAGGUUAGAUGUGGUUGCUGGUUGUGAAUCUGUCUACACUGGAACCUCAUUCCACUGUGAAUCAUGGCAGAGUGGAAUCUCGAAUCCCAUCCACUUGGAUGUGAGUGACCAGUUAAACAUUUGGUCCAAUAAGGUGGGACAUCUGUAGUCUCUCAUCACCCCCAUGACCACCUCCUUGUGCUGUACAAACAACACAUGGGAUGGGUGACUGUGAAAAGGGUCCACAGAGACCCUUUGGCUAUUUUACAAGUGUCUCAGCGCCCCACCAGUGGAAAAACACCAGGAAGCUAGCUAACCACCAUGAAAUUGACUUUCAUUUCCGCUCAUACUAAACUCCAGAGGCUGUAUUUACCACCAGUUGGCCAUCUGGCUGACAAGACUUUGUAAAAUCUUUUCUGAUCCUGAAAUCACUCCUGCAUGGUGCUAAUUAUGUAAAUAUCAAAUUUACCAGCAAUCAGUAUACAUUCAUUAAGAAGGAACCUUUUUUUUUUUUUUUAUCUUUUGCUUUAGAGAACAGUAUGAAAACCACUACGUGGAUGUACAGGAAGUCCACUUUGACUUAAUGUCCCAUCCUAUUCAGAAUACCUAUUUCUCCCAUCCAGCUGAAGUCAUUCUCUGCUUUGGCUGCACUUUGGAAACACCUGAGAGGCUUUAAAAACCACUCAUUAACUGGGUCUUAGCCCUGUAGUUUCAGACUUAAUUGGUCUGAGUCCUGGUAUCAGGAUUAAAAAAAAAAAAAAACAA